GGCAGAUAAGUGCGGUGGAUUUAAGCUCCACAAAUAAAGUUUAAAACUUUCA
rnacentral:tRNA from 1 species